CCCAAGGUGGGACACUCUACAAACUUGGUUCACAACUACGGUUACAUCUUGGAUCUCCUAAGGCCAGUUUCUGAAAUUCUUUAAGUAACAAGUAUGGUCAAACAUUAUGAGAGCACAGAAGAACAACAUAGACUGGCUAUUUUCUUUUCAUGACUAUUGAUUUGUGUGCUAGUCUGUUCUCACACUGCUAUAAAGAACUACCUGACACUGGGUGAUUUAUGAAGAAAAGAGGUGUAAUUGACUCACAGUUCCACAAGCUGUACAGGAAGUAUAGUUGAGAGGCCACGGGAAAGUUAUAGUCAUGGCAGAAAGGUGAAGGGGAAACAAGCAUGUCUCACCACGGUGGAGCAGGAGAAUGAAGAGGGCAUCUAUCCCAGUCAGCCGAAGGGAAA
rnacentral:lncRNA from 1 species